UACGGGGGGGGCAAGCGUUGUUCGGAAUUACUGGGCGUAAAGGGCUCGUAGGUGGCCAACUAAGUCAGACGUGAAAUCCCUCGGCUUAACCGGGGAACUGCGUCUGAUACUGGAUGGCUUGAGUUUGGGAGAGGGACGCGGAAUUCCAGGUGUAGCGGUGAAAUGCGUAGAUAUCUGGAGGAACACCGGUGGCGAAGGCGGCGUCCUGGACCAACACUGACACUGAUGAGCGAAAAGCCAGGGGAGCAAACGGGG
rnacentral:rRNA from 1 species